AUUCUCUGAAAUCUGAAUGCAGCAUGUCCAGAAAGCCCCAAGCAAAAUGGAAGAGAAAUGGAGGGGAGGCAUGCGCAAGUAACGAGACCUCCGCUAAUCCACCGAGACGCCGUCGGUGGCCAACCGGCCUCCCGCUAGCGUGCGACCUCCGGCAUUGCCUCACCCCAUGGCGAGCUGCGCGCCGCCACCUGCAUUGCCUCGCCUCCGCGGCUCCGCCAAUCCGCCGCCGCCUGCCCGCCUCCGCGCUCCAUCAACACCUUUCUCGCCUCGGCUGCACUCGCCGCGUUCCGCGGCCUCAGCGUCGCGUGAAGGGGCCAGCCUCCAUUUGGAUCGAGCCGUCAAGGGGAACUCUACGGGGACGGCCGGCUUCCGACAUGGAGGAGGCUGAGCAGUCCGACCAAAGCUUUCUCGCCUCCCCUACACGAUGCGUGACCUCCCCUAAAAUGUCUCUCCGAGCCCUCGACAACGGAGGAGGAGGGGACGCGGCGGGGAUAUCCGGCGGCGAAGGGAGAGAGCUGGAACCGUUGAGGCAACACCACAUCGACUCCAUGCCCCCUCCAUUACCGGUUGAGGCUUAGCUCAUGUGAUUGAGCUCGUCACUGAUAAACAAGGAUGCCGCGGCACAGAGUUUGCAAAGGGGGAAUGGCGUGCAGGACUGCAGGUGGUUGUGUUCGCAAUUCGCUAAGUCAAAGACCGUGCCCGAGGACUGCUCUGAGGUUGGUUGUUUUGACCUGAGUCUGGGUUUUCCAUAUUGCAGGUUUAUGUUUCAUGUAUGUUGUGUGUUGGUUUUGCAUCUCUGAAAUUCUUACUGAGAAAAAGGUGAAAAGGGUCAUAAUUUGGGCCCUUCAUCCUUUCAGAGUUUCAAUGAUGACCCUUCAUGCUUUCAGUUUCAGUUAUGUUUGCAUACUAUACACACAAGCACUCCUGGUUGAGAAUAGUCUAAUCUUCUUGUUUACCUUGCAUACCAUGGUCUGAAGCUAUCAGUGAAGAUGACUGAUAAGUUACUUCACAACAUUUACAGUUUAUGAACUUCUGAGAACUUUUGUUAUGCUUCACUGUCAAAUUUUUUCAGAGCUCUAUACAAACAAGUAAUAAGUUGGGCUGGUACUACUAGCUAGCAGCAAACACAGUGCACCAUACUGAGUUUGAGUACUAGCUAAGAGGAACACACAGGAUUGCUCGUUUUUGUUAUCCAGUGGUGUAUGCAAUUAAGAUUUGCUGUUGACUUCUAAUCAAAAGCCACUGUAUACUGUACCUGUUUAUUUUUACAUUUUGCUACUAGGAAUGUACCAAUGUCUUCUUCCGCAAGAAGGCCGUCUAGUGUCAAUAUUUUAUUUCUUGAUGUAUGCAAUUAGUCUGAACUUAUGUUUAUGUCUAAAUUUUUACAGGGAGCUCAAGGUAGAUUGUAUUCUGCUUGUCGGUUACUUGAAGUUUGUUCUUGUUGAGCUGGUUCAAGUGUAAAGAUCGAUCCUGAAUAUCACCCUUCACUGUUCCCAGCAUUCGUUGGCAAGGGCUAUUAUUGUUUGAAGAUGCAUAAAGCAGUUAUUGCAUCUUUUUCUCGAACACUUCUUUUUUCCUCAAAACCAGCAGUUAGUGCAUUUGCAGCAAGGUACUCAGGAUCUACUGUGCACUUUGCUGAUGAGCAUAAUGGCACAGGGAGAACUCUAACCCAAAGAAUUGUGCCUGUGGUAGCCAUAUUGGUGUAACUGUUAUACAAUGUAUGAUUAAGCUGGGUUUCUUUAUUGUGCAUUGAUGCUAAACCACUAAUUCUAUUUAACUUAUAGAAGAAUUUAUUCUUUUAACUUGAUCAUAAAUCCCUAUAAUUGGAGGUACUCAGGACCUACUGUGCACUUUGUUGAUGACCAUACUGGCACAGGGAAAACUCUAACCCAAAGAAUUGUGCAUGUGUUAGCCAAUGAUACCCGUGAGCAAUUGGCUGCUAAAAUCCUUAAUGAGGUAACAUUAACAUAGCACAUUUAUAUGGUGCACUAUGAUGGGGUCGAGAAAUCCACGAACUCCGGCUAUCCAGGACCUACCACUGACGGCGAGGAAGCGCCUGCAGACGUGCAUCACGCUGCAACCGUCAGUGGACCAUGCAUUUCCUGUUUAAUAGCAAAGCGAGUGGCCUUUUUUUUUACUCCGUGAGAACGGGGAGUCGAACUCCCGACCUGCAGGAUGCACAGCUACCGCCCUACCACUGUGCUACGCGCAUGUUCUCAUUAAGGAUAAAUGAGAAACUCGGGGGAGGUCACCCCCCAGGUGUCGAGUUUUUUUAUAUGGUGCACUAUGAUGGCUAUCCUGAUUGCUUAGCACUUAGCAGAGGUUUGGUAUUAUCUAUAUUCUAUAGACUAAUAUCUUGAUUGAACAUUUCAGGAGCAUCAUGUUUAUGUUAGGCAGUUUCUUCCUUGUGCGAUGACCAACUUGUGUGGUGCGAAAGUGGUGUUCCUCUUAUCAGAAGUUUGCACUUUGGAGUUUCAUGUUAUGAUUUGAGGAAGGCUGCUGCCAUGAAUGGCUACUGCAAAAUCAAUUGUAGAGGAUAGUGAAUCUGGUUGUAUGCAAAAAACUUCCAACAUGUGUUCCACCAAAUGAGCUUUCCGUAUCUUAUUUUCUUCUUAAUUCUACAGAUGUUAACACUUAGCACUAGUGAUGUUUUUUUCUUAGGUGUUGUGUUGUUUCUUCAAUUGUAACAAUGUAGCUUUUGCAAGAGGGAAGAAUGUGGUGGUGGUAGCCAUUCCUUGACAACCAUCUCAAACAAACAAUCUAGAGCAAAUGUGGAAGCUCAUCAUUGUUCAUGACAGCAUAUGUUCAUCGGGGUGAACCAGAGUGUUAUGCUCAUUAUAUCCCCUUGGUGCCAUAAUACAUGGAAUCUGGUUCUUCUUAACUAGUAAGUUUUCAAGUCUCAUCUCAGCUUCUCUCAUUGUAGGUCGAUCUUCUCUCCUCAAUUUAGUACACAUUGC